rnacentral:rRNA from 1 species
CUGCCAGUAGUGUAUGCUUCUCCUAAAGACUAAGCCAUGCAUGCCUAAGAAUAAGAGGAAGCAAUUCUCUCUGAAUCUGCGAACGGCUCCGCAAACCAGUUGUAAACUACAGCAAGCAAGCACGGGGGGUUGGCCUUCACGGGUCGGUCCCUCGGGCGAUAUGGAUAACCCUGGUAAUUCUGAGGCUAAUACAAGAACGUAACCCCUGGCUGACUGAGCCCUCGCCCUCGGGUGGGGAUACUUGGGAGGCUGGGAAGCGUGCGAGUACUAAUGCGAAUGAGAACCGGGAAUGGGCGCACGCUUGGACCGCGCUACAAAGGAUCAUUACUCGGCAAUCCCUCCGGGGUGCGCUUUGUUUUGGCCCUAGCGGCUCUUGCGGUGUGCUUCUGACCUAUCAACUAGACGGCAGCGUAACGGACAUGCUAUGGUUACAACGGGUACAGAGGAUUAGGGUUCGAUCCUGGAGAGUGGGCCUGAGAGAUUGCUCA